AAACUAUAGUUAAGGAACUCGGCAAAUUAGCCUCGUAAGUUCGCGAGAAGGGGUGCCUAGGGCAACCUAGGCCGCAGUGAAGAGACACCGGCAACUGUUUAUCAAAAACACAGCUCUAUGCAAAGGUGCAAGCCGAAGUAUAUGGGGCGACGCCUGCCCAGUGCUCCAAGGUUAAGAGGAGGGGUUAGCCAGUAGUAAGAUGCUGGUGAAGCUCUGAAUUGAAGCCCGAGUGAACGGCGGCCGUAACUAUAACGGUCCAAAGGUAGCGAAACUCCUUGUCAGGUAAGUUCUGACCCGCAUGAAAGGCGUAAUGACUGGUGUACUGUCUCAACUAUAGACUCGGUGAAAUCUUAGUACCGGUGAAGAUGCCGGUUACCCGCAACUAGACGGAAAGACCCCGUGGAGCUUUACUGCAGCUUGAUAUUGGGUUUUUUUCUGGUUUGUGUAGGCUAGGUGGGAGACUUUGAAGCUGACUUCUCAACAGGUCAGUGGAGUCGCAAGGUGAAAGACCACUCUAAUCAGCAGAAGAUUCUAACUUAUUGGUUUACAGCCAAAAGGACAGUGUUUGGUGGGUAGUUUGACUGGGGCGGUCGCCUCCUAAAAAGUAACGGAGGUGUUCAUAAGGUAUCCUCAGUAGGUAUAGAAAUCCUAUGUAGAGCGUAAAGGUAUAAGGAUGCUUAACUGUGAGACUUACAAGUCGAACAGAUACGAAAGUAGGACUUAGUGAUCCGGCGGUUACCUAGUGGUAGGGCCGUCGCUAAACGGACAAAAGUUACCCCGGGGAUAACAGGCUAAUACUUCCCAAGAGAUCACAUCGACGGAAGUGUUUGGCACCUCGAUGUCGACUCAUCGCAUCCUGGAGGUGAAGAAGCUUCCAAGGGUUGGGCUGUUCGCCCAUUAAAGCGGUACGUGAGUUGGGUUUAGAACGUCGUGAGACAGUUUGGUCCCUAUCUGUUGUGGGCGCAGGAAAUUUGCGGAGAUCUGCUCUUAGUACGCAAGGACCAGAGUGGACUGACCAAUGGUGUACCAGUUGUCCUGUCAAGGGCACGGCUGGCUAGCUACGUCAGGUCUAGAUAAGCACUGAAAGCAUCUAAGUGCGAAGCUAACUUCAAGAUAAGAUUUCCCAUCCCGUGAGGGAGUAAGAUACCUUCUAGACCAGGAGGUUGAUAGGUGAAAAAUGUAAGUAUAGUAAUAUAUUGAGUUAAUUCAUACUAAUUUAUCGAGGACUUAUUUAG
rnacentral:rRNA from 1 species